UUAAGGAAUUGACGGGACCGCACAAGCGGUGGAUGAUGUGGUUUAAUUCGAUGCAACGCGAAAACCUUACCCACCUUUGACAUGUACGGAACCUUUAGAGAUAGAGGGGUGCUCGAAAGAGAGCCGUAACACAGGUGCUGCAUGGCUGUCGUCAGCUCGUGUCGUGAGAUGUUGGGUUAAGUCCCGCAACGAGCGCAACCCUUGUCAUUAGUUGCUACAUUCAGUUGGGCACUCUAAUGAGACUGCCGGUGACAAGCCGGAGGAAGUGGGGAUGACGUCAAGUCCUCAUGGCCCUUAUAGGUGGGGCUACACACGUCAUACAAUGGCUGGUACAAAGGGUUGCCAACCCGCGAGGGGGAGCCAAUCCCAUAAAGCCAGUCGUAGUCCGGAUCGUAGUCUGCAACUCGACUACGUGAAGUCGGAAUCGCUAGUAAUCGUGGAUCAGAAUGUCACGGUGAAUACGUUCCCGGGUCUU
rnacentral:rRNA from 1 species